CUAAUUUUACUAGUUAGCAGUUGGCGGAUGAAAAUUUGUUUUUAAAUAUUUUCAUCCGCCAACUGCUAACUAGUAAAAUUAG